UGGGGAAUAUUGCACAAUGGGCGCAAGCCUGAUGCAGCCAUGCCGCGUGUAUGAAGAAGGCCUUCGGGUUGUAAAGUACUUUCAGUCGGGAGGAAGGUGGUAAGGUUAAUAACCUUAUCAAUUGACGUUACCGACAGAAGAAGCACCGGCUAACUCCGUGCCAGCAGCCGCGGUAAUACGGAGGGUGCAAGCGUUAAUCGGAAUUACUGGGCGUAAAGCGCACGCAGGCGGUUGAUUGAGUCAGAUGUGAAAUCCCCGGGCUUAACCUGGGAACUGCAUUCGAAACUGGCAGGCUAGAGUCUUGUAGAGGGGGGUAGAAUUCCAGGUGUAGCGGUGAAAUGCGUAGAGAUCUGGAGGAAUACCGGUGGCGAAGGCGGCCCCCUGGACGAAGACUGACGCUCAGGUGCGAAAGCGUGGGGAGCAAACAGG
rnacentral:rRNA from 1 species